CUCUGUCAAAUCCAUCUCGUUUACAUUACCACUAGGGUCAGCUGGUGAAGGCGGCCACGCUGGUGCCGCCACGGUCGCCCGUCAACGACGAAGUGGUAGGUGUUGCUGCGGCUUGCGGGUGAUGCGAUCGGUGUGCUUGUGCGAUGAGUGGUUACUGGAUGCAGGGUCCCAUGGAUCCAUCUCGUGUAGAACGUCGGCAGCUUCUACCAUAAGCGAUGAGUGUGUGCCUGUGUGAUUGGCAAUGAGAAAAUCUCGUUCUAUAUUCAGCAUCUGCUGCACAUCUUUUUGUAUUUCUGUAUCGAUUUCUGGGGUAGGGUAGUAUGGCCUGGAAUAAGGUGGGACUUCAGGACUAUUUUCCAUCAAACGGUUGUUACCCAUCAGAUGAAUUAAGGUGCAUGUAUAUUUUGAAUUUUGCUUUUCUCAUCACACCAAUGUAUCCGUGCGUUGCCUCUGAUCAAUUUAGGUGCUAGUACUCUUCCGUACUUCCCUAUCCUAUUUGUAGAGCACACAGCCGUGUAAAAGCAGGUUGGAUGAGAAGACUAGAAAAUCUGUGCAUACUGUUUGCAGGAACUUAUUUGUUUAGCCUACAUUAGUGACUGCCUUGUACUUUUGCUCAUAGUAUACUAAUUUAUUAUUGCUCUAGACAUAUCAAAUAAUUACUUAUACAAAUCUGUUCAAUGUAUUGAUCAAUUUUGGCAUGUGACAUGUAAUGCAUAACAUAACCAAAUUGAACUGUUCCUAUCUCUGCAGUUUCAUAACCACAACAUGCUGAUUCAUUUUUUCAGCUCAUAUGUUAAAGCAACAAAACCGAGUUCAAUCAAAUUACCUUGAUUUACAAGUCACAUUUACAUUAUAGAAAGACUGAAUAAUUUUGUGUUUCUGUUCAAAACAUAUUAUGUAAAGUAUAUCUCUACGACUAGAAAGAUCAUUUUUUUCCGAACAAGGAGAAAAUGUAGAGCUCAGUGAACAUUGUUUUCAAGGUCCUCAUGUGAUCAAUAAUAUAUUACCAGGGAUACCUCAUGAAUCUACUAAACAGCAACCGCGUCCAGAAAAUUAUAGCAAAGAGGUUUAUAUGCCAAUUCAUCUUAAGGACGUUGGCGCAUAACCGCUACGAAAGUAAAUAAUGAAAAUUGCCUAGACCAUAUAAAGAUAUUGAAACUGUCACAGAUGCUUUGGGUCAUGUUAUCGCUUGGCCUAGAUUCUAUAUCGAAAUGAAGAAAUCGAGCUCAAACCAGACAAACAAUAACAAGGUUAAAUCUGGAGCAAAGCAUGGAGGGGCAAAGCAUUAGUUUCUGCCUAGAUAAAUCUAUGUAGCGAUAUUUACUAUCAUUUUUUUUAGAGAUAAUUGUAAUGUAGGAUUUGUAAGAUUUUUCCUAUUCAUGAUA